rnacentral:rRNA from 1 species
UACAGAGGUCUCAAGCGUUGUUCGGAUUCAUUGGGCGUAAAGGGUGCGUAGGCGGCGCGGUAAGUCGGGUGUGAAAUCUCGGAGCUUAACUCCGAAACUGCAUUCGAUACUGCCGGGCUAGAGUCCGGAAGAGGCGAGUGGAAUUCCUGGUGUAGCGGUGGAAUGCGCAGAUAUCAGGAGGAACACCAACGGCGAAGGCAGCUCGCUGGGACGGUACUGACGCUGAGGCGCGAAAGCGUGGGGAGCGAACAGG